UACAGAGGGUGCGAACGUUGCUCGGAAUCAUUGGGCGUAAAGCGCACGUAAGCGGCGAGGAAAGUUGGGUGUGAAAGCCCUGGGCUCAACCCAGGAAGUGCAUUCAAAACUACCUUGCUUGAAUCUCGGAGGGGGUCAGAGAAUUCCCGGUGUAGAGGUGAAAUUCGUAGAUAUCGGGAGGAAUACCAGUGGCGAAGGCGCUGACCUGGACGAAGAUUGACGCUGAGGUGCGAAAGCGUGGGGAGCAAACAGG
rnacentral:rRNA from 1 species